UUUUUUAUAAAAGUAAUUUAUUUAUUUAAGGUUUUAGUAUUAAUUAAAAAUUAAUUUUUAGAUUUAUAGUUUAAUAGUAUUGUAAAAGAAUUAAUUAUAUUUAGAAAAGAAUAACUUUAAGUACCUUUUGUAUCAGGGUUGAUUAAAAUUUUUAAUUUUUUUUUAAUUUCUCAACAUUUAUAGAGUUAAUUUUAUUAUUAAGUUAUUGUAUUAUAAAUAUUUAUAAAAUAAUUUUGGUUUUGAAAUUUAAUUCGUUAUAAUAUAUUUAGUUAUUUAAGAUUUAAAUUUAAUUUAUAAUUUUAAAAGUUAUAUUGAUUUUAUAUAUAAAUAUUUUAAAUUUAAAUUAUUUUAGGGAUAAGCUUGAAAUUUUUAUAUAAUAAUUUAUUUAUUUUAAUAAUUUAUAGGAAUAGAAAUUUUUAUUUAAAGUUUGUAAAAAUUUAUUAUUUAUUUUUUUUUAAUUUAUUAUAAAUUUAUUUAUUUUUUAUAUUAAAUUUUAUUAAUUAAUAUUUAAUUUUUAGUAAUAAUGAUUAAAUUAGUAUAAUUUAAAUUUAUAAAUUAUGAAUUCGGCAAAAAUUAUUUUCAUCUGUUUAACAAAAACAUUGUAUUAAGAUUAAUUUAAUAUAGGAUCUGCUCAAUGAUUUAUUAAAUAGCUGCAGUAUUUUGACUGUGCAAAGGUAGCAUAAUAAUUAGUCUUUUAAUUGAGGACUUGUAUGAAAGAUUUGAUGAGAAAUAAACUUUAUUAUUUAUAAAAUUAAAAUUUUAUUUUUAAGUAAAAAAGCUUAAAUUAUUUAAAGGGACGAUAAGACCCUAUAAAACUUUAUAAAUAUUGAUUUUACUUUUUUUGGAUUUAUAACUAUUUUAAUUUUUUUAUUUAUUUUAUUGGGGUGAUAAAAAAAAUUAUUAAACUUUUUUUAAAUUUUUACAUCAUUUAAUGAAUAUUUGAAUUAAAAUUUUUAAUUAAAGGAAAAAGUUACUUUAGGGAUAACAGCGUAAUUAAUUUUUUAAGUUCAAAUUUAAAAAUUAGUUUGCGACCUCGAUGUUGAAUUAAGAUUAAUCUUAGGUCCCAAAUUUUAAGUAUUAGGUCUGUUCGACC
rnacentral:rRNA from 1 species